rnacentral:rRNA from 1 species
GUAGGGAAUCUUCCGCAAUGGACGCAAGUCUGACGGAGCAACGCCGCGUGAGUGAAGAAGGGUUUCGGCUCGUAAAACUCUGUUGUCAGGGAAGAACGUCCCCGUGAGUAACUGCACGGGGAGUGACGGUACCUGACCAGAAAGCCACGGCUAACUACGUGCCAGCAGCCGCGGUAAUACGUAGGUGGCAAGCGUUAUCCGGAAUUAUUGGGCGUAAAGCGCGCGUAGGCGGUCUGUUAAGUCUGAUGUGAAAGCCCCCGGCUCAACCGGGGAGGGUCAUUGGAAACUGGCAGACUUGAGUGCAGAAGAGGAGAGUGGAAUUCCAUGUGUAGCGGUGAAAUGCGCAGAGAUAUGGAGGAACACCAGUGGCGAAGGCGGCUCUCUGGUCUGCAACUGACGCUGAGGUGCGAAAGCGUGGGGAUCAAACAGGAUUAGAUACCCCGGUAGUCC